rnacentral:tRNA from 6 species
GGAGAUGUACCCAAGUGGCUGAAGGGUCUGGCUUCGAACACCAGUAGGUCGGUAACUCCGACGCGAGAGUUCAAAUCUCUCCAUCUCCGCCA